CUUUAUAGUUCUGUCACCUGAUGCUGAUACGAUGUACUUGUCAUCAAAGUCCACUACGUUGACAGCAGCACGGUGCCCUACGAGCACCCUCCGCAGGGUGAUGUCUGUUGGUGAAGCCAUGUCCCACACAGCAAUGGAACGGUCUUUGGAGCACGUCACCAUCAUGCCGUUAUUGAAGCGGAGGUGCAGUACUGCUUCACAGUGGUGAAUCAGUGUGUUCAGCAUCUCGCCCGCGUUCACGUCCCACACCCUGACAGUCGAGUCUGAAGAUCCAGUGAUGAUCACCCGCUCAUCAUACUGCAGGCACAGGACAGAACCCGUGUGUCCAGUGAGAAUUCGCUUGCAUUCUAAUGUAUUUUUAUCCCAGAUCUUGAUAGUAUUGUCUCGUAGGCCACUGACUAUCUUCUGAUCAUCAUACUGUAAACAAUAAACACCUUUGCUUGUCUCGCUCCGGCAGUGGAUUCUCUGUAAACUGUGCCUUCCACACCGCCAGUUUGACUCUAUUGUCUCAAUAUCCUGUAUAAUUUUGGGGUAAAGUGCUCUGUAGAAUGAGUUGGGUGGAGCAGUCCCAUCAGGGGGUUUAUUUUUAAAUAGGUAUUGUCCCCAUCCUCUCCUCUCUGACAAGCCCCUCCACAGCGAGUCUGUCCUGACCAUCCUCUCGAUCAGCUUCUUCCACAGCAUGCCGUCCGACGUCACACGGUACCACUCCUUGCACACCAGCUCAGCGGCACACAGCGAUUUGGCAUCCAGGUUGAGAAAUCCCUUCCAAAGAAUGAUCGAAUGACUGGAUCAAACAAACUGUCCAAGUGCAUCGCUUCUCCAAAGGGAUCCACAGAACAAGUGUUUUUGCAAAGAAAUUCCUCUCUUCAG
rnacentral:lncRNA from 1 species